AACGAACGCUGGCGGCAUGCCUAACACAUGCAAGUCGAACGAGACCUUCGGGUCUAGUGGCGCACGGGUGCGUAACGCGUGGGAACCUGCCCUUAGGUUCGGAAUAACUCCCCGAAAGGGGUGCUAAUACCGGAUAAUGUCUUCGGACCAAAGAUUUAUCGCCUUUGGAUGGGCCCGCGUUGGAUUAGCUAGUUGGUAGGGUAAAAGCCUACCAAGGCGACGAUCCAUAGCUGGUCUGAGAGGAUGAUCAGCCACACUGGGACUGAGACACGGCCCAGACCCCUCGGGGGGGCAGCGGGGGGGAAAUUUGGCCAAGGGGGGAAAGCCUGACCCAGAAAGGCCGGGUGGGUGAUGAAGGCCUUGGGUUUGUAAAGCUCUUUUACCCGGGAUGAAAAUGACAGUACCGGGAAAAUAAGCCCCGGCUACCCCCGU
rnacentral:rRNA from 1 species